UACAGAGGGUGCAAGCGUUAAUCGGAAUUACUGGGCGUAAAGCGUGCGUAGACGGCUAUCUAAAUCGGGUGUGAAAGCCCCGGGCUCAACCUGGGAAUUGCAUUCGAGACUGAAUAGCUAGGGUACGGUAGAGGGAAGCGGAAUUUCCGGUGUAGCGGUGAAAUGCGUAGAUAUCGGAAGGAACAUCAGUGGCGAAAGCGGCUUCCUGGACCAGUACCGACGUUCAGGCACGAAAGCGUGGGGAGCAAACAGG
rnacentral:rRNA from 1 species